UUGUAUCACUGUGCCACAUGUUUGGAGGAGGAACCAGACUUGAAGUUAACAUGGGUCAAGUGCCUCCAUCACUAAUGGUUGUACCCCCCUCCAGUGAGGAGCUGAAGCAGGGGAAGGUUAUCCUCAUGUGUCUGGCCAACAAGGGCUUCCCCUCAGACUGGACUCUGUCCUGGAAGCUGGACGGCAGCAGCAGCAGCUUGGAGCAGAGCAGGAGCCCCGGGGUGCUGCAGAAUGACGGCCUCUACAGCUGGAGCAGCACCCUGAGGCUCCCUGCAGACCAGUGGAGGAAGGUGGGCUCUGUGACCUGUGAGGCCUCCCAGGGCUCCCAGACUGCAGUCACAGAGACACUGAAGAGAGACCAGUGUUCCCAGUACUGAGCUGAUAUGCCAGAAGAUGGGAACUAUUGCUUUUUCAAUGCUUUCUGUUCUUUCCGUCUUCAAAAGCUUCUUUUCAUUCGAAGCCUUCUUGCUUAUUGUUGCAAUCCCGGUUGAUUUAAUAUCUUAAAGCAAUAAAACUGAUCAACGCAUCAACGUGUUUUGUCUGAGUUAUAUAUUUCACUGGAGAAGCUUGUGUUUAUUUGAUACAAAAUUCUGACAUGAAUGAUAGCAUUUCAGAGGCCGGUUGACUAAAAAUGUAUAAAAUAUAUAUAUUUCUAUAGCAUUAAAACAACUACAUUUUAAGCACAAUUAUUAAGAAAACAAGGUGUUGAAAGGAAAUAAGUUUUUUUUUCGGUUUCAUUGUAUGAGAAAUCAUGAGGAAAAUAAUUGUAACUUGGAGAAGUUGAUCUUUUUUCAAUUCAUGACAAUAAAAAAACGUUUAUUUACAUCUUUCCUUCACUCUUGCCCAGGAUCCACUGCUGUGUGUGUUUAGGGUUUCACUUGUCUUUGUAUUUAGAUUAGGUU